rnacentral:snRNA from 1 species
UCAGCUCUCUUUGCCUUUUUGACUUAGAUUAAUUGUAGUAUCCGUUCUUUCCGGCAUAAUUUCUGAAACUGCUCUAUGGAGCAGAGUCGUGAUUAUACUAUUUUUGGCCCACGGCGGACUUGCGCUCUGAGCUUGCCCAUGGUCGUUCGUUUGCCAGUAUGCCUGGUAUUACACUUCCCCAGAUGAUGUGGUGACGCA